rnacentral:rRNA from 1 species
AAGUCAUCAUGGCCCUUACAUCCCGGGCUACACACGUGCUACAAUGGUCGGUACAACGAGUCGCGAUACCGCGAGGUGGGGCCAAUCUCUAAAAACCGAUCUCAGUUCGGAUUGCAGUCUGCAACUCGACUGCAUGAAGCCGGAAUCGCUAGUAAUCGCGGAUCAGCAUGCCGCGGUGAAUACGUUCCCGGGCCUUGUACACACCGCCCGUCACGCCAUGGGAGUUGGCAGUACCCGAAGCCGGUUCACCAAGAAUCGUCGAAGGUAAGGCUGAUGACUGGGGCGAAGUCGUAACAA